ACGGCGAGUGAGCGGCAAAAGCUCAAAUUUGAAAUCUGGUACCUAUCGGUGCCCGAGUUGUAAUUUGGAGAGGGCAACUUUGGGGCCGUUCCUUGUCUAUGUUCCUUGGAACAGGACGUCAUAGAGGGUGAGAAUCCCGUGUGGCGAGGAGUGCGGUUCUUUGUAAAGUGCCUUCGAAGAGUCGAGUUGUUUGGGAAUGCAGCUCUAAGUGGGUGGUAAAUUCCAUCUAAAGCUAAAUAUUGGCGAGAGACCGAUAGCGAACAAGUACAGUGAUGGAAAGAUGAAAAGAACUUUGAAAAGAGAGUGAAAAAGUACGUGAAAUUGUUGAAAGGGAAGGGCAUUUGAUCAGACAUGGUGUUUUGUGCCCUCUGCUCCUUGUGGGUAGGGGAAUCUCGCAUUUCACUGGGCCAGCAUCAGUUUUGGUGGCAGGAUAAAUCCAUAGGAAUGUAGCUUGCCUCGGUAAGUAUUAUAGCCUGUGGGAAUACUGCCAGCUGGGACUGAGGACUGCGACGUAAGUCAAGGAUGCUGGCAUAAUGGUUAUAU
rnacentral:rRNA from 1 species